rnacentral:rRNA from 1 species
UACGUAGGUGGCAAGCGUUGUCCGGAUUUACUGGGCGUAAAGAGCACGCAGGCGGUCGUUCAAGUCGCGUGUGAAAGCCCCCGGCUCAACUGGGGAGGGUCACGCGAUACUGAUCGACUCGAAGGCAGGAGAGGGUAGUGGAAUUCCCGGUGUAGUGGUGAAAUGCGUAGAUAUCGGGAGGAACACCAGUGGCGAAGGCGACUACCUGGCCUGUUCUUGACGCUGAGGCGCGAAAGCUAGGGGAGCAAACGGG